UACGUAGGGCGCAAGCGUUGUCCGGAAUUAUUGGGCGUAAAGAGCUCGUAGGCGGCUUGUCACGUCGGGUGUGAAAGCCCGGGGCUUAACCCCGGGUCUGCAUUCGAUACGGGCAGGCUAGAGUGUGGUAGGGGAGAUCGGAAUUCCUGGUGUAGCGGUGAAAUGCGCAGAUAUCGGGAGGAACACCGGUGGCGAAGGCGGUUCUCUGGGCCUGACCUGACGCUGAGGAGCGAAAGCGUGGGGAGCGAACAGG
rnacentral:rRNA from 1 species